UACGUAGGGUGCAAGCGUUAUCCGGAAUUAUUGGGCGUAAAGAGCUCGUAGGCGGUUUGUCGCGUCUGCUGUGAAAACUGGAGGCUCAACCUCCAGCCUGCAGUGGGUACGGGCAAACUAGAGUGCGGUAGGGGAGAUUGGAAUUCCUGGUGUAGCGGUGGAAUGCGCAGAUAUCGGGAGGAACACCGGUGGCGAAGGCGGUUCUCUGGGCAGUAACUGACGCUGAGGAGCGAAAGCGUGGGGAGCGAACAGG
rnacentral:rRNA from 1 species